rfam:Brassica napus, WGS project CCCW01000000 data, contig: 21368
GAAAUAUAAGAACACGUCUCUUAACUUUUAAAAAAGUUAAGAACCGGCUCUUAAAUAAGAGUUUUAAGAACCGGUUCUUAGUUUUUUAGUUAAAAGUUAAGAGUUGGGUUCUUAUAUUCC